UACGUAGGGGGCUAGCGUUGUCCGGAAUCAUUGGGCGUAAAGAGCGUGUAGGCGGCCCGGUAAGUCCGCUGUAAAAGUCAAAGGCUCAACCUUUGAAUGUCAGUGGAUACUGUCGGGCUAGAGUCCGGAAGAGGCGAGUGGAACUCCUGGUGUAGCGGUGAAAUGCGCAGAUAUCAGGAGGAACACCGGUGGCGAAGGCGGGUCUCUGGGCCGAUACUGACGCUGAGGAGCGAAAGCGUGGGGAGCGAACAGG
rnacentral:rRNA from 1 species